UCAGACGAUGCGUCAUGCAUAUCAAUAAGCGGAGGAAAAGAAACUAACAAGGAUUCCCCUAGUAACGGCGAGUGAAGCGGGAAGAGCUCAAAUUUGAAAUCUUAAAGGGUUUCCCUUCACGAAUUGUAGUUUAAAGAAGUGUUUUCUGUUGAGGUUUUGGUAAAAGUUCUUGGAAUAGGACAUCAUAGAGGGUGAGAAUCCCGUAUUUGACCUUUACUUUCAACUUUGUGAUACACUUUCAAAGAGUCGGAUUGUUUGGGAAUGCAGUCCAAAAUGGGUGGUAAAUUUCAUCUAAAGCUAAAUAUUGGCGAGAGACCGAUAGCGAACAAGUACCGUGAGGGAAAGAUGAAAAGAACUUUGAAAAGAGAGUUAAACAGUACGUGAAAUUGUCAAAAGGGAAGCGUUUGACACCAGUGUUGUUUUUCUGAAAAUCAAUUGAAGAACUGUUUAUGCUAAGCUGUUUAGACUUUAUCAGCUAUCUGUUUAGUUUUGAGCUUUUCUUUAAUGCACUUUUCAGUUAACAAGUCAACAUCAAUUUCUUUUGCUGUAAAAAAGCUUGAGGAAGGUGGCUUGAGAUUCGUCUUAAGUGUUUAUAGCCUCUUGCCUAUGCAGUCGGAGAGAUUGAGGUCUGCAGCGUAGAUCCUUCGGGGCUAAAUGCAUUUGUGCUAAGUUAUAGCAUUUUAUAGACAUCUUGUUGACUAUGAUUUGUCUUGUAGCUUACUCGCUUAUGUUAUUUUACCUACGCUUAGGAUGUUGAGCGCAUGUCUCUCUCU
rnacentral:rRNA from 1 species